ACCAGUUCCUGUGUGCUCAGCCAGCUGAACUUGUGUGUUUUCAGCCCUCACUGAUGAAAGUUGCCAGUGUGUGCGUUCCCUAUGCGUUCCAGCCGCUCGCUCUGCCCGUUCUGGUGGUUCCUUGGCCAACAUCGCCUGUUCUGGCCUGUCACUGCCUGCAACCCCUGGUCAGUCUGGUUCUGCUUACCAGCCUAAUCUGCCACUACUCAUCCCCUUCAAUACACUCUGUGCCCGGAUUAAAUAUUGGCUGCUGGAGGUGAGGAAGAAUGUACUGGCAGCAGAGGAAGUGGCAUUCUGGAAAGGAGUUACCCUUGAUCUAAGGCGCCUGUACAUUGGAACAUGUUCCGGCAGGAACCCACCACCACAUGACCUGAUGUCGACAAGCAUUUCAUGUCUUCAGAUUGCUUUUGAUUUAUUGUUUUGAUUUUUAAGUUAUCUAAGCUUGCACCUUAGAAUUUGUGAUCCGUAUAAAUUCAUGUCCUCUACUUAAUUUAGAAAGUUAGUUUAGCAUGAAUACAUGAGUUAUAUCAUAUGAAUAUAUUUUUCACUACAUGCUGUAUUUUUGAUGCAGGGUCAUUAGUAAUUAUUAUAUAUAAUAUUUGGGAGGAGUUUACCCACUUCUGUAUUUGAAAAGGUCCAUUAGGGACAGCUCUACCUUCCAUCUAAUGACCAAUCGCAUGUGAUUGGUGACAAAAACACGAGUAUCAUGU